GUGCAGUUCUCCCUCUCUCCACAAGGCGUGACAGGCAGUAGCAGCUACACAACUGUUCCUCAUCAGAAGCAAUCAAGGGAGAGCUUCAUAUACUGUUGGGAACUUGGAGGAGGUGUCAGAUUGUAUGCUCACCCAGAGUGAUUGCUGUCAGAGAAGUCCAGUCCUGGAUUACCCGUCGUGGUUCUGCCUCCAGCAUGGUUGGUAAAUGCUUAGAAUUUCCCUCAGCCAUAUGACCUCCCUGGAUUUCCUGGAUCUACUUGUAGUGUUGCUGUUCUCUUCCAUGUCCUGCCUGUCCACCCUCCGACACCACUCACCAUCUGGAGAGGCCAGCUCACACAGCACAACGACCUGUCAACCUCAGUCUCCGUGGCUUGCUCAUCUCCUCCUGGAACUCUCUUCUCCACCUCCAAGUAAAAGAUCAAUUCUCUCAGCAACAAUCUAUUAUCCUCUCCAUUACUUACCGUCAUCUCCUUCCCAGUCCUACCCGGUGAGACACCUGCUGGAUCCUAAGUCAGCCUGUACGUUCAAUAAACUUGUUCAAACUUUA